GAUUUGUAUGGUAUGCUAGUAUUUUAUUAUUAUUUAUUUUAUUAGUAUUUUUUAUUUUUCAACACUUCUUUUUUUGCCCAUCGUGUCACCUUCUACAAACACAGCAAGGCCCUUCGAUUGCAACCUGUCGUCUGUCAUCACAGGGUUAUCCAUUUUGUGCAAACAGCAGCGCAGGCGAAGCCCCAAAAGUCAAUCAGUCUGAAAAUUAUAAAUGCAAAUUGAUGAAGGCGGUGAGGCUGGCAGCUCAUUGAUUACCGGGCUACCAAGGAGCAUAAACAAUGGCCCACCUCACGGCACACGCACGACCAUCGACGUGGCCCAAGACGGAUGGACAGUAUAUAACAAUUAGAAGUUUCCUGCUCAUCCAUGGAGUCGGUUAGAUUGAUAUAUAGGAGUGCGCCACCCAAUUGGCACAACUUAAUUUUCAAUCAAUGCACAAAACCAGAACAAAAGGCUGACCAAAACCGGCGAAGGAACCGGUAGCAGGAGGAACUGGAAGUAGACUGCAGUUGCGACGACUAUUUUAUGGGUGAGCGCGUUGUAUCUGGGAGAUACGUAGAUACUUCUUUUGGCCAGUGCCCCAGGCGCACACACGCAUUCGCGUUUUGUGGUGGCAAAAGAAAAUCCCUGGCACUCAUAAAUUUUUAUAGCUUGUAAUUAUUUGGAAUGUCGGGCUGGACGGCUCUGCAGUUUUGCCUCCUUUUCCCGGCCGGCCCCUCCCCAUUAUGUUCGCUCCAUGGCUAUCAGUGCUGUGGAAAAUUUAUCUGGCUAUUUUCGAAAGGUCAAAAGCCGGUAGCCGUUUAGUGAUGCAGCCAAUCGAACAGAAAGCACAUUUUUAAGCACGCUUGGGGAAGCAUAUUUAGGUAAGUUAUAGAGAAUAGUUAAGUAAAACUUAUAUUAGUUAUUUAACAAAUGAAUCAGUAGUCGGACAACUAAAUGGAGCAAUGGAGCCAAUAAAAUGUUGAUGCCCAAUGUUUUUUACAUAAGAUGUGCUACAUUUAUUUGGUCUUCUGGAAAAAGCGGACGCAAGCGGAUUUAAUAAAUAUUCGUAUUUUAUUAGAAACAUUCAUGGCAAACGCUACUUUUUGCUCUGAAAGCGAACACUGAUGAUGGCCAUUCUGAGCUGCGCAUGCGCGGCAGGCGGUCCGAGUAGAUGACUUUGGCAGCUUCCUGCUUUGUUUGGUUUUCGGCUGCGGAGCAAUGCGAGAUUUAUACUUUGGCUUAAUUAAUGGCAAUGCGUUCGCGAUUGGCUUUUAUGGCUCGUACGCGUAUCUGUAUCUGCUGGAUGCACUCGAACUCGAGCCGGUGUCUGUAAUUAGUCGUGGCCAGCUGAGAAUCGUGUUUACCGCGCUGUCUUGGCCAAAACCAUCCGCAUUGCUUUCUCUUAGGUGCUAAUAAAGUUGUCAGCUAAUUAAAUUGGCGAUCAUGCCUGCUGAUCGAUAAACGAUUGAUAAAGAAUGUUUGCUCGCUUCUCAGAAAGCCGUAAAUAAAAGUCAUUAGAUGGAUUGA